GACGAACGCUGGCGGCGUGCUUAACACAUGCAAGUCGAACGGAAAGGCCCUGCUUUUGUGGGGUGCUCGAGUGGCGAACGGGUGAGUAACACGUGAGUAACCUGCCCUUGACUUUGGGAUAACUUCAGGAAACUGGGGCUAAUACCGGAUAGGAGCUCCUGCUGCAUGGUGGGGGUUGGAAAGUUUCGGCGGUUGGGGAUGGACUCGCGGCUUAUCAGCUUGUUGGUGGGGUAGUGGCUUACCAAGGCUUUGACGGGUAGCCGGCCUGAGAGGGUGACCGGCCACAUUGGGACUGAGAUACGGCCCAGACUCCUACGGGAGGCAGCAGUGGGGAAUAUUGCACAAUGGGCGGAAGCGUGAUGCAGCAACGCCGCGUGCGGGAUGACGGCCAUCGGGUUGUAAACCGAUUUCGCCUGUGACGAAGCGUGAGUGACGGUAAUGGGUAAAGAAGCACCGGCUAACUACGUG
rnacentral:rRNA from 1 species